UACGUAGGGGGCUAGCGUUGUCCGGAAUCAUUGGGCGUAAAGAGCGUGUAGGCGGUCCGGUAAGUCCGUUGUGAAAGUCAAGGGCUCAACCCUGGAAUGCCGGUGGAUACUGUCGGGCUCGAGUCCGGAAGAGGCGAGUGGAAUUCCCGGUGUAGCGGUGAAAUGCGUAGAUAUCGAGAGGAACACCUGAGGUGAAGACGGGUUGCUGGGCCGACACUGACGCUGAGUGCGCGAAAGCCAGGGGAGCAAACGGG
rnacentral:rRNA from 1 species